ACCAGCGGCGAUAGCACGUUGAAUGCACCAGUUCCCAACGGAUCACUGAAGUUAAGCAACGUUGCGCGUGGUAAGUACCUGGAUGGUGACCAUCUGGGGAAUCCGCGUGCUGCUGGGU
rnacentral:rRNA from 1 species